UGAUAAUAUGGCAGGAGCAUGUGGCGGGCCAGAGGAUAUACCCGAUGAGUCCUUGAGUGUUUUGGAAUGCAGUAGAGUAACAGUCAGUCGUUCUAGUACACCGUCAAUUCGAAGUUAUUCUAAUACCCCAACCAAUUUGGCAAGUACACUAUGUUCCAGCAGGACAAUCAUUCCGACUUUCCUUAGAACACCUUUAUCUGGAGAAGUUCGUUCUAGAAGGUCAACUACUCCUGUCACAGAGGGUAUAUCAAGAAAAGAACAGACUACAGCAUCAGCAAACAAGAUUGACACUUUAACAAAGAAGUCAUCUAAAUGAAAAGGCAACUGGUAAAAGUGCAAGAAAAACAAAUUAAUGUUGAAAAGAAAGUGGAUAUUAUGAUUCAAAUACUACAAUCAAAAACAAAUGAACGAAAAAAGCGAAGCCAAAAGAUUAACGUCCCUGCACAAAUUGCACAAUCAAGAAGGGAUGGUUAUCAGCAGGGUAUUACUGAAAAGGAUUUCAUCUGGAUAAUAAAGAACGAAACUGGCAGUAUUUUAAAAAGGGAUAAAGACAAAUUUUGAAUCGUUCAAAGCAAAGAAACGAAGAGACGAAACUGGUAAACAAGAAGAACAUAACAAGAAAAUGGCUGUGUACAGCAAGAUGAAAAUUAAACAACAGAAAAAGGCCCUAAAAGUAAAAGUCCAGUAUACCAGAGGAACAAAAAGAAAAGGGCUCGAAAAGCAGUGGUGCAGAACAUGUCUUAUGAACAAACAGAUUCAUAAGACGAAGGAUCGUUUAUCGUCAGACCUCUGCCUUGGAGGUCUGACGAUGUUGAUAAAUUAGUAAAAAAA